ACGCUAGCGACAGGCUUAACACAUGCAAGUCGAGGGGCAGCACAGGUAGCAAUACCGGGUGGCGACCGGCGCACGGGUGAGUAACGCGUAUGCAACUUGCCUAUCAGAGGGGGAUAACCCGGCGAAAGUCGGACUAAUACCGCAUGAAGCAGGGGCCCCGCAUGGGGAUAUUUGCUAAAGAUUCAUCGCUGAUAGAUAGGCAUGCGUUCCAUUAGGCAGUUGGCGGGGUAACGGCCCACCAAACCGACGAUGGAUAGGGGUUCUGAGAGGAAGGUCCCCCACAUUGGUACUGAGACACGGACCAAACUCCUACGGGAGGCAGCAGUGAGGAAUAUUGGUCAAUGGGCGUAAGCCUGAACCAGCCAAGUCGCGUGAGGGAUGAAGGUUCUAUGGAUCGUAAACCUCUUUUAUAAGGGAAUAAAGUGCGGGACGUGUCCCGUUUUGUAUGUACCUUAUGAAUAAGGAUCGGCUAACUCCGUGCCAGCAGCCGCGGUAAUACGGAGGAUCCGAGCGUUAUCCGGAUUUAUUGGGUUUAAAGGGUGCGUAGGCGGCCUUUUAAGUCAGCGGUGAAAGUCUGUGGCUCAACCAUAGAAUUGCCGUUGAAACUGGGGGGCUUGAGUAUGUUUGAGGCAGGCGGAAUGCGUGGUGUAGCGGUGAAAUGCAUAGAUAUCACGCAGAACCCCGAUUGCGAAGGCAGCCUGCCAAGCCAUUACUGACGCUGAUGCACGAAAGCGUGGGGAUCAAACAGGAUUAGAUACCCUGGUAGUCCACGCAGUAAACGAUGAUCACUAGCUGUUUGCGAUACACUGUAAGCGGCACAGCGAAAGCGUUAAGUGAUCCACCUGGGGAGUACGCCGGCAACGGUGAAACUCAAAGGAAUUGACGGGGGCCCGCACAAGCGGAGGAACAUGUGGUUUAAUUCGAUGAUACGCGAGGAACCUUACCCGGGUUUGAACGCAUUCGGACCGAGGUGGAAACACCUUUUCUAGCAAUAGCCGUUUGCGAGGUGCUGCAUGGUUGUCGUCAGCUCGUGCCGUGAGGUGUCGGCUUAAGUGCCAUAACGAGCGCAACCCUUGCCACUAGUUACUAACAGGUAAAGCUGAGGACUCUGGUGGGACUGCCAGCGUAAGCUGCGAGGAAGGCGGGGAUGACGUCAAAUCAGCACGGCCCUUACAUCCGGGGCGACACACGUGUUACAAUGGCGUGGACAAAGGGAAGCCACCUGGCGACAGGGAGCGAAUCCCCAAACCACGUCUCAGUUCGGAUCGGAGUCUGCAACCCGACUCCGUGAAGCUGGAUUCGCUAGUAAUCGCGCAUCAGCCAUGGCGCGGUGAAUACGUUCCCGGGCCUUGUACACACCGCCCGUCAAGCCAUGGGAGCCGGGGGUACCUGAAGUCCGUAACCGCGAGGAUCGGCCUAGGGUAAAACUGGUGACUGG
rnacentral:rRNA from 1 species